rnacentral:miRNA from 13 species
UGCAUCGCGUGUGACCUCCCUA